UGGGGAAUUUUGCACAAUGGGGGAAACCCUGAUGCAGCGACGCCGCGUGAUUUAGAAGGCCUUCGGGUUGUAAAAAUCUUUUCUAUGGGAAGAAAAUGACAGUACCAUAGGAAUAAGGACCGGCUAAUUACGUGCCAGCAGCCGCGGUAAUACGUAAGGUCCGAGCGUUGUCCGGAAUCAUUGGGCGUAAAGGGUACGUAGGCGGGUAAGCAAGUUAGAAGUGAAAUCCUAUAGCUCAACUAUAGUAAGCUUUUAAAACUGCUCAUCUUGAGGUAGGGAAGGGAAAGUGGAAUUCCUAGUGUAGCGGUGAAAUGCGCAGAUAUUAGGAGGAAUACCGGUGGCGAAGGCGACGUUCUGUCCAUAACCUGACGCUGAGGUACGAAAGCGUGGGUAGCAAACAGG
rnacentral:rRNA from 1 species